rnacentral:misc_RNA from 1 species
AACGCAAAUUGCACUCUCUGGUAUUCCGGAGAGUAUGCCUGUUUGAGGGUCGAUAAAAUAAUAAAAUCGACAUGUUUUUUUUUGAACGUGUCGGAAUUGGGUAGUCUUUAACCUCUUUUUGGUUAAAGUGACCUAAAAUUUAUCAUUUUUACUUCGGUAUGAUUACGUACUUAAUAAUUUUUUGUCGUAAAUGUCCGAACGUAAUUUUAUUAGAUGUGUAACUAUGUAUUAUGAUUACGUCUAUAAUUUUUUUCGAUUAAUGACCUCAAAUCAGGUAAGAAUACCCGCUGAACUUAA